UUGACGGCCUCGUGCCGGGCGCCGAGCGCUCCCUGGCGGCCUCAGCCGGCAUCGAAUCACCGCGGUUCCCAGAGAGCGUGAGGGGCUGGCGUGGACACACCGGGAAUGGACCGUACCCUUUUUCAAAAGGAACUCAUGAUGUAUACAAAUAGAAUGCUCUUCCCCUUCUUUGCUGGCCAAUUCCUACUCAUCUGUUAAAACCAAGCUUAGAGAUUACCUCUUUGAUGACAUCUCUACCAAGUCUGAUUGAGAACAUCUCUGUGAGCACAUAGUAUUCUAACAUCUCUAUCAUCAUACCAUGAAAUCAUCAGGCUAUCAGUUCUUUGAAUGAUGACCACAUGCCUAUCUUUUGGACACCAUCACCAACAGGGAAGAUGUGUGAAGGACCCACGGGUGCAGCAAGAGGAGUGAUCCCAUUCCUGCAUGCCUCAUUUGGCAUGACUUAAGACAAACAUGGAGGGAGCAUUGCAUCACCACAUCAGUCAGAAGCAAAAGAGGACAUCAGUUGGAAAGGGCCCUUUGGCACUGUGUAGCAACAAUCCCAAAAUCAUUGGACUACCCAGGGAGGACUGCCUGACACCUAUCAUGGAAUCUUCUGCUGGGGUGGGGUAACUACCCUGGGUGCGAGUGAUGGGGCAGAAAGGAGAUGGCAUGCAGUCAUACACAGAAUAAAAGAUGUCUGCUACCACUCUGUAGUCUUCAGGUGCUGUGGACCACCAGCAGUUCCACAGUCAGAACACUGACAAAGGAAGGCCAGCACAAGGUCCCCAACACAUGGCUCAUGACCAAGGGUUGGUAGAGGACUGUCGAUAGCCCAGAGACCUGAACUCAUCUUGUGUUUGACCCCAAAUAAGCAUGUCAACACUAUUCUGGAGACCCAAUUUCACACUAUUUUAUGAAAGAACUGUGCUAGCCAGCAAGAGUGACUGACUGACUUACCUGCAAGGUGCUCUCAAAUUCUUGUUUUCUUUUCUGUAGAGCUGGCAUCUCGCUUUGUUACCCUUACCCAGGCUGGUCUUGAACUCCUGGCUUUGAAGGAUCCUCCCACCUCAGCCUCCCAAAGUGCUAGGAUUACAGGCAUAAGCCACCAUGCCUGGCCUCAAAGAUAACAUAAUAAAUGAUUAUUGUUUUAAGCCACUGAGUUUUGUAGUGCUCUGUUACAAAACAGUAGAUAAAUAAUACAUACGACUAAAAACCUAGGUGUCAUCCUUGACUCCUCAUUCUCUUACAUCCCACAUCCAAUCUGCCAGCAAAUUAUAUUGGUUUUACCUUCAAAAUAUAUCCAGAAUCUACUUCCCACCACCUCUACCACUACCACUUUGGUGUGAACCUUCUAACUAUACUGCUUUUACCCUUGAAUCUCCACAAUUUAUUUUCAAACAGCAGCCAGUGUUACUGUAAGAAGGUAAGUCAUAUUAUGUUAGUCCUCUGCUAAAAACCCUGCAAUGGUUACCUAUUUUCCUCGGAACAAAAAAGCCAAAGUCCCAAGUCUUUCAAGCCCCUACAUGAUCUUCCCCUGCUACACUACCUCUCUGACUGCAUCUCCUGUACUUCUGCCCUAAUUUAUACCACUGCAGUGGCCUUCCUACUGUUCUUCACCUGUGCCAGGCAUGUUUCUACUUAAGGCUUUAGCCCUUACUGUUCCUCUGCCUGAAAUACUCUUUCCUUGGAUCCUGUGUUGUGCAAUCCCUCCCUCGUCUCCUCCAAGUUAUUGCUCCAGUCUCACUUCCCAAUGAAGCCUAUCACCUCUGUAAUUUCUACAUGUCCAUCUCUCUGAACUUCUUUUUUUUUUUUUUUUUGAGACAGAGUCUCACUCUGUCACCCAGGCUGGCGAGAUCUCGGCUCACUGCAACCUCUGCCUCCUGGAAUCAAGUGAUGCUUGUGCCUCAGCCUCGGGAGUAGCUGAGAUUACAGGUGCGUGCCACCACACCUGGCUAAUUUUUGUAUUUUUCGUAGAGACAGGGUUUCACCGUGUUGCGCAGGGUGGGCUUGAACUCCUGACCUCAGGUGAUCCACCCACCUCAGCCUCCAUCUCUCUGAACUUCCGAUACCAAUUAUCCUACUCUA